rnacentral:lncRNA from 1 species
GGAAGAUUAGGAAAUAGAAAUAAAUUUGGGGGACAAGAAGGAAACACAAAGAAGAAAAAUGGGGUGUGCAGGGGCAUGGAGGUGGGACUGUGCUGUCAUCAAUCGAGUCUUACCCGGCGGGGGCAUCAGGGUACCCUGACCCAUCCCUCACAGAGAAGGCUGGAAGGAGGGGGUCGGGGGACUGGGCAGCAGGAAAGUGGGAACGGCACGUGCAAAGCCCAGAGGCAAGAAGGAGGUCUUUUCAAGAAACUGCAGAGGGUUCCAAAUGUAGGGGUGCUGGGUGUAAGGUGGCAGCCGACGGCAGCCACGCCACCAGGGCCCAGGCUGAAGAGCAUCGCGGGGCUGAGUGACGGCGGCUCUGGAGCCCGAGCGCCACCCCUUGGCCGUCUUCACGGUGCAAAGACAGAGAUCCCAUGACAGUGUCCUUGUAAGAGACAGAAGAGGAGAAGACACAGAGGGAGGCCACGUGAGGAUGGAGGAAGAAUGAGAGGGACAGGACCACAAGCUAAGGAACCGGGGCCCCCAGGAGCUGGGAGAGGCAGGAAAGAUCCCCCUGAGCCCUCAGAGGAGCCUGGCUCUGCCGACACCCUGAUUUCGGACCUCUGGCCUCCAGAACUGCGAUCGAAUAAAUGUCUGUUGUUUUAAGUCCCCCAGGCUGUGGUCAUCUGUGAGUCCGCAGAACUGACUUGGGGACCUUGGGUGGCAGCAGCUCCCCUGCACACGGUCCCACGGGUCCAGCGCUGCCCACACUCUGUCCCUCCCAAAGGCAGCCCGGGUGAUGAGGGCCGACAGGGUGCUGUGGCCAAGGCCGUGUCAGCGUGCAACAUGGAGGGCCCGAGGCUGCUCUUGAACAACACCCACUGCCUGACCCCAAAGGCACCGUCAUAAGGCAGGGGCCCGGCAGCAGCACCAGUGUACCCUGAGCUGCUGCCCAAGGGCCUGGCCUGGGCACACACAGAGGGGCCAGCUGGGCUCGUGGCCUCUCAGGGCCAUUUCAGGCCGGCCCCCAUGCUGGCAAACCACGGGGAAGGCCCAGAGAGGGUGGGGCCC